UGAAUACGAGACGCUAAGGCGUCGAAGUAGUGUAUGUCAUACUUCCAAGAAAAGCUUGCACUGUCAUAGAUAAAAAACGCCUGUACCAUAACCGACACAGGUGGGUAGGUAGAGUAUACUAAGGGGCGCGAGAUAACUCUCUCUAAGGAACUCGGCAAAAUAACUCCGUAACUUCGGGAGAAGGAGUGCCUUAUUCGUAAGGUUGCAAUAACAAGAUCCAAGCAACUGUUUAUCAAAAACACAGGUCUCCGCUAAGUCGUAAGACGAUGUAUGGGGGCUGACGCCUGCCCAGUGCCAGAAGGUUAAAGAAGUUGGUUAGCAAUUGCGAAGCUGAUAACUGAAGCCCUGGUGAACGGCGGCCGUAACUAUAACGGUCCUAAGGUAGCGAAAUUCCUUGUCGGGUAAGUUCCGACCCGCACGAAAGGCGUAAUGAUUUGGAUACUGUCUCGGAGAGGGGCUCGGUGAAAUAGACUUGUCUGUGAAGAUGCGGACUACCUGCACCAGGACAGAAAGACCCUAUGAAGCUUUACUGUAACUUGAAAUUGAAAUUGGACUUUAUUCGCGCAGUAUAGGUGGGAGGCGUUGAUUAUAAUCUUGUGGGAUUAUUGGAGCCAUCAGUGAGAUACCACUCUUGUAAUGUUAGAUUUCUAACUUUGAAUCAUUAUCUGGUCAAAGAACAGUUUCAGGCGGGCAGUUUGACUGGGGCGGUCGCCUCCUAAACGGUAACGGAGGCGUACAAAGGUUUCCUCUGAACGGUUAGAAAUCGUAUCUAGAGUGUAAAGGCAUAAGGAAGCUUGACUGUGAGACCUACAAGUCGAGCAGGGACGAAAGUCGGUCUUAGUGAUCUGACGGUACUGAGUGGAAAGGCCGUCACUCAACGGAUAAAAGUUACUCUAGGAUAACAGGCUGAUCUCCCCCAAGAGUUCACAUCGACGGGGAGGUUUGGCACCUCGAUGUCGGCUCAUCGCAUCCUGGGGCGGUAGUACGUCCCAAGGGUUGGGCUGUUCGCCCAUGAAAGCGGUACGCGAGCUGGGUUCAGAACGUCGUGAGACAGUUCGGUCCAUAUCCGGUGUAGGCGUUAGAAUAUUGAGAGGAGCCUUCUUUAGUACGAGAGGACCGAGAAGGACAUACCUCUGGUGUACCAGUUAUCGUGCCAGCGGUAAACGCUGGGUAGCUAUGUAUGGAGUGGAUAACCGCUGAAAGCAUCUAAGUGGGAAGCCCACCUCAAGAUAAGUAUUCUC
rnacentral:rRNA from 1 species